rfam:Desulfamplus magnetovallimortis isolate PRJEB14757 genome assembly, scaffold: MTBBW1_scaffold1
UAUGUUUAGACAACAACAUAAGGGGGAUGAAGCAUGCGUUGACAAGCGGCACUUGUCAGGGUGUGAAGCCUUCAGACAAUGUACCGGCUUCUGAUAGCCAUAAAUCGGAUGACCGG